rnacentral:rRNA from 1 species
AUACGGAGGGUGCGAGCGUUAAUCGGAAUUACUGGGCGUAAAGCGCGCGUAGGCGGCUUGUUAAGUCGGAUGUGAAAGCCCCGGGCUCAACCUGGGAAUUGCAUUCGAUACUGGCAGGCUAGAGUAUGGUAGAGGGAAGCGGAAUUCCGGGUGUAGCGGUGAAAUGCGUAGAUAUCCGGAGGAACACCAGUGGCGAAGGCGGCUUUCUGGACCAAUACUGACGCUGAGGUGCGAAAGCGUGGGUAGCGAACGGGAUUAGAAACCCCGGUAGUCC